GUCACUUUAGCUCAGUUGGAAGAGCGUCAGACUGAUGUUCCGAAUGUCCAGUGUUCAAUCCGCACAAGUGACA
rfam:Conidiobolus coronatus NRRL 28638 unplaced genomic scaffold CONCOscaffold_37, whole genome shotgun sequence.